GAUUUUGAGUGCUACCCAUAUUUAAUCUUAGUGUGAAUGUUUUGGUGAUAGAGUUUAUUAGAGAAAAAUAGCAUCAUCGGCAUUAGUUUCCUCUGCUUCUUCUUACAUUAUCUUUUCCCCCCUUCAUUAUUUAUUUUAAAGAACAAUGAAUACUUAGGAAGGAAACUCAUAACCAUCAUCAUUUAUCAAAACUUCUUCUUUUUGUAAAUACUCUGGGUUAGAAUUUGUAGUCCCUUACUUAAUUUCUCUAUCAUUUUUUUGCAGAUCACAGAAACUUCAGAACUAAUUCUCACACUCAGAGAAGACUUUUCUACCGUCGGAAGCUGAGCGCGGGGCCAGGGUCGUACCCUCCGCGGUGCGCGUCCAAGUGCAGCGACUGCACCCCGUGCAGUCCCGUGCAUGUGCCGGUGCCGCCGGGCACGCCGGUCAUCGCCGAGUACUACCCGGAGGCGUGGCGGUGCAAAUGCGGCAACAAGCUCUACAUGCCCUAACGCUGGUGCGCCCUGCGUGCAGGAGCUGCGACGCAUGCAAAGAAGGGGAUAUAAUUAUAUAGUGCAAGGGCCAUCAUAUAUGCAUGUAACCUCAUUCUUGGACUACAAUUCUUGCACCCGGUGAGAUGGAGAGCUCAAACAUGUAACAUGGACAGUCCCUACCAUGAGGAUAAUUGGAUGGGAUUAAUUUAUACAUGUUUAUAUGAGUGUAUAUAGUAUUUUGACUUAUGAGAAAA